rnacentral:rRNA from 1 species
GGGUUGUGAGGUUAAGCGACUAAGCGUACACGGUGGAUGCCCUGGCAGUCAGAGGCGAUGAAGGACGUGCUAAUCUGCGAAAAGCGUCGGUAAGGUGAUAUGAACCGUUACAGCCGGCGAUGUCCGAAUGGGGAAACCCAGUGCAAUUCGUUGCACUAUCGUUAACUGAAUACAUAGGUUAACGAGGCGAACCGGGGGAACUGAAACAUCUAAGUACCCCGAGGAAAAGAAAUCAACCGAGAUUCCCCCAGUAGCGGCGAGCGAACGGGGAGCAGCCCAGAGUCUGAAUCAGCUUGUGUGUUAGUGGAACGGUCUGGAAAGUCCGACGGUACAGGGUGAUAGUCCCGUACACCAAAAUGCACAGGUUGUGAACUCGAAGAGUAGGGCGGGACACGUGGUAUCCUGUCUGAAUAUGGGGGGACCAUCCUCCAAGGCUAAAUACUCCUGACUGACCGAUAGUGAACCAGUACCGUGAGGGAAAGGCGAAAAGAACCCCGGCGAGGGGAGUGAAAAAGAACCUGAAACCGUGUACGUACAAGCAGUGGGAGCACCUUCGGGUGUGACUGCGUACCUUUUGUAUAAUGGGUCAGCGACUUAUAUUCUGUAGCAAGGUUAACCGUAUAGGGGAGCCGCAGGGAAACCGAGUCUUAACUGGGCGUUAAGUUGCAGGGUAUAGACCCGAAACCCGGUGAUCUAGCCAUGGGCAGGUUGAAGGUUGGGUAACACUAACUGGAGGACCGAACCGACUAAUGUUGAAAAAUUAGCGGAUGACUUGUGGCUGGGGGUGAAAGGCCAAUCAAACCGGGAGAUAGCUGGUUCUCCCCGAAAGCUAUUUAGGUAGCGCCUCGUGAAUUCAUCUUCGGGGGUAGAGCACUGUUUCGGCUAGGGGGUCAUCCCGACUUACCAACCCGAUGCAAACUACGAAUACCGAAGAAUGUUAUCACGGGAGACACACGGCGGGUGCUAACGUCCGUCGUGAAGAGGGAAACAACCCAGACCGCCAGCUAAGGUCCCAAAGUCAUGGUUAAGUGGGAAACGAUGUGGGAAGGCACAGACAGCCAGGAUGUUGGCUUAGAAGCAGCCAUCAUUUAAAGAAAGCGUAAUAGCUCACUGGUCGAGUCGGCCUGCGCGGAAGAUGUAACGGGGCUAAACCAUGCACCGAAGCUGCGGCAGCGACACUAUGUGUUGUUGGGUAGGGGAGCGUUCUGUAAGCCUGCGAAGGUGUGCUGUGAGGCAUGCUGGAGGUAUCAGAAGUGCGAAUGCUGACAUAAGUAACGAUAAAGCGGGUGAAAAGCCCGCUCGCCGGAAGACCAAGGGUUCCUGUCCAACGUUAAUCGGGGCAGGGUGAGUCGACCCCUAAGGCGAGGCCGAAAGGCGUAGUCGAUGGGAAACAGGUUAAUAUUCCUGUACUUGGUGUUACUGCGAAGGGGGGACGGAGAAGGCUAUGUUAGCCGGGCGACGGUUGUCCCGGUUUAAGCAUGUAGGCUGGUUAUCCAGGCAAAUCCGGAUAAUCAAGGCUGAGGUGUGAUGACGAGGCACUACGGUGCUGAAGUAACAAAUGCCCUGCUUCCAGGAAAAGCCUCUAAGCAUCAGGUAACAUCAAAUCGUACCCCAAACCGACACAGGUGGUCAGGUAGAGAAUACCAAGGCGCUUGAGAGAACUCGGGUGAAGGAACUAGGCAAAAUGGUGCCGUAACUUCGGGAGAAGGCACGCUGGUGUGUAGGUGAAGUCCCUGCGGAUGGAGCUGAGACCAGUCGAAGAUACCAGCUGGCUGCAACUGUUUAUUAAAAACACAGCACUGUGCAAACACGAAAGUGGACGUAUACGGUGUGACGCCUGCCCGGUGCCGGAAGGUUAAUUGAUGGGGUUAUCCGUAAGGAGAAGCUCUUGAUCGAAGCCCCGGUAAACGGCGGCCGUAACUAUAACGGUCCUAAGGUAGCGAAAUUCCUUGUCGGGUAAGUUCCGACCUGCACGAAUGGCGUAAUGAUGGCCAGGCUGUCUCCACCCGAGACUCAGUGAAAUUGAACUCGCUGUGAAGAUGCAGUGUACCCGCGGCAAGACGGAAAGACCCCGUGAACCUUUACUAUAGCUUGACACUGAACAUUGAGCCUUGAUGUGUAGGAUAGGUGGGAGGCUUUGAAGCGUGGACGCCAGUCUGCGUGGAGCCAACCUUGAAAUACCACCCUUUAAUGUUUGAUGUUCUAACGUUGGCCCCUUACCGGGGUUGCGGACAGUGUCUGGUGGGUAGUUUGACUGGGGCGGUCUCCUCCCAAAGCGUAACGGAGGAGCACGAAGGUUAGCUAAUCCUGGUCGGACAUCAGGAGGUUAGUGCAAUGGCAUAAGCUAGCUUGACUGCGAGCGUGACGGCGCGAGCAGGUGCGAAAGCAGGUCAUAGUGAUCCGGUGGUUCUGAAUGGAAGGGCCAUCGCUCAACGGAUAAAAGGUACUCCGGGGAUAACAGGCUGAUACCGCCCAAGAGUUCAUAUCGACGGCGGUGUUUGGCACCUCGAUGUCGGCUCAUCACAUCCUGGGGCUGAAGUAGGUCCCAAGGGUAUGGCUGUUCGCCAUUUAAAGUGGUACGCGAGCUGGGUUUAGAACGUCGUGAGACAGUUCGGUCCCUAUCUGCCGUGGGCGCUGGAGAAUUGAGGGGGGCUGCUCCUAGUACGAGAGGACCGGAGUGGACGCAUCACUGGUGUUCGGGUUGUCAUGCCAAUGGCACUGCCCGGUAGCUAAAUGCGGAAGAGAUAAGUGCUGAAAGCAUCUAAGCACGAAACUUGCCCCGAGAUGAGUUCUCCCUGAGACUUUAAGUCUCCUGAAGGAACGUUGAAGACGACGACGUUGAUAGGCCGGGUGUGUAAGCGCAGCGAUGCGUUGAGCUAACCGGUACUAAUGAACCGUGAGGCUUAACCUUACAACGCCGAAG